GAUGAACGCUAGCGGCAGGCCUAAUACAUGCAAGUCGAACGGAUAUAUGUUUUUCGGAAUAUAUAUUAGUGGCGCACGGGUGAGUAACACGUACAUAACUUGCCCUCAAGCGGGGGAUAGCCUUGGGAAACUGAGAGUAAUACCCCAUAGAAUUAUUGGACGGCAUCGUUUGAUAAUUAAAACUACGGUGCUUGGGGAUAGAUGUGCGUCUGAUUAGCUAGUUGGUGGGGUAACGGCCUACCAAGGCGACGAUCGGUAGCUGGUCUGAGAGGACGACCAGCCACACUGGGACUGAGACACGGCCCAGACUCCUACGGGAGGCAGCAGUGGGGAAUUUUGGACAAUGGGCGAAAGCCUGAUCCAGCGAUGCCGCGUGGGUGAAGAAGGCCUGCGGGUUGUAAAGCCCUUUCGAUGGGGAAGAAAAGCCUGGAGCUAAUACCUCCGGGUCUUGACGUUACCCAGAGAAGAAGCACCGGCUAACUCCGUGCCAGCAGACGCGGUAAAGUAGU
rnacentral:rRNA from 1 species